UGGGGAAUAUUGCACAAUGGACGGAAGUUUGAUGCAGCGACGCCGCGUGGAGGGUGUAGGCCUUCGGGUUGUGAACUCCUUUUUCUCGCGAAAAAGGCACAGUUUUGGCUGUGUUGAUGGUAGUGGGGGAAGAAGCGCCGGCUAACUACGUGCCAGCAGCCGCGGUAAUACGUAGGGCGCGAGCGUUGUCCGGAUUUAUUGGGCGUAAAGAGCUCGUAGGUGGUUCGUCGCGUCUGUCGUGAAAGCCAGCAGCUUAACUGUUGGUCUGCGGUGGGUACGGGCGGGCUUGAGGGCGGUAGGGGUGACUGGAAUUCCUGGUGUAGCGGUGGAAUGCGCAGAUAUCAGGAGGAACACCGAUGGCGAAGGCAGGUCACUGGGCCGUUACUGACACUGAGGAGCGAAAGCGUGGGGAGCGAACAGG
rnacentral:rRNA from 1 species